rnacentral:piRNA from 1 species
UCCCCACCGGUGAAAUGAGCCAGUUCCAGU